AGUGAACGCUGGCGAUAGGCCUAACACAUGCAAGUCGAACGGCAGCACAGUAAGAGCUUGCUCUUACGGGUGGCGAGUGGCGGACGGGUGAGGAAUACAUCGGAAUCUACUUUUUCGUGGGGGAUAACGUAGGGAAACUUACGCUAAUACCGCAUACGACCUACGGGUGAAAGCAGGGGAUCUUCGGACCUUGCGCGAUUGAAUGAGCCGAUGUCGGAUUAGCUAGUUGGCGGGGUAAAGGCCCACCAAGGCGACGAUCCGUAGCUGGUCUGAGAGGAUGAUCAGCCACACUGGGACUGAGACACGGUCCAGACUCCUACGGGAGGCAGCAGUGGGGAAUAUUGGACAAUGGGCGCAAGCCUGAUCCAGCCAUACCGCGUGGGUGAAGAAGGCCUUCGGGUUGUAAAGCCCUUUUGUUGGGAAAGAAAAGCAGCAGGUUAAUACCCCGCUGUUCUGACGGUACCCAAAGAAUAAGCACCGGCUAACUUCGUA
rnacentral:rRNA from 1 species